rnacentral:rRNA from 1 species
GCAUCCUGGGGCUGGAGAAGGUCCCAAGGGUUUGGCUGUUCGCCAAUUAAAGCGGUACGCGAGCUGGGUUCAAACCGUCGUGAGACAGGUUGGUCUCUAUCUGCCGUAGGCGUUGUUGCUUGAGAGGAGUCUUUCCUAGUACGAGAGGACCGGAAAGAACGAACCUCUGGUGUACCAGUUGUUCCUGCCAAGGGCACUGCUGGGUAGCUAUGUUCGGAAGGGAUAAUCGCUGAAAGCAUCUAAGCGAGAAGCCCACCUCAAGAUUAGGCAAUAUGGCUUCCUGGAAGAUGACCAGGUCCGAUGUAAAAUCGGACUCCGUACCCCCGAUGUUACAAUCGGGGCGUCGGAGUUGAUAGGCUUCAGGUGUAAGCGCGGCAACGCGUUCAGCCGAGAAGUACUAAUAAGCCAAAGAGUUUACCCUG